ACUGGAACUGAGACACGGUCCAGACUCCUACGGGAGGCAGCAGUGAGGAAUCUUCCACAAUGGGCGAAAGCCUGAUGGAGCAACGCCGCGUGCAGGAUGAAGGCCUUCGGGUUGUAAACUGCUUUUAUGAGUGAAGAAUAUGACGGUAACUCAUGAAUAAGCACCGGCUAACUACGUGCCAGCAGCCGCGGUCAUACGUAGGGUGCAAGCAUUAUCCGGAGUGACUGGGCGUAAAGAGUUGCGUAGGUGGUUUAUUAAGUGAAUAGUGAAAGCUGGUGGCUCAACCAUACAGACUAUUAUUCAAACUGAUAGACUCGAGAGUAGUAGAGGUAACUGGAAUUUCUUGUGUAGGAGUGGAAUCCGUAGAUAUAAGAAGGAACACCAAUGGCGUAGGCAGGUUACUGGACUAUCUCUGACACUGAGGCACGAAAGCGUGGGGAGCGAACCGGAUUAGAUACCCGGGUAGUCCACGCCGUAAACGAUGGAUACUAGCUGUUGGAGGUAUCGACCCCUUCAGUAGCGAAGCUAACGCGUUAAGUAUCCCGCCUGUGGAGUACGGCCGCAAGGCUAAAACAUAAAGGAAUUGACGGGGACCCGCACAAGCGGUGGAUUAUGUUCUUUAAUUCGAUGAUAACCGAAGAACCUUACCAGGGCUUGACAUCUAGGGAAGGACUACGAAAGUAGUUUGUGCCUUUUUGGAACCCUAUGACAGGUGAUGCAUGGCCGUCGUCAGCUCGUGUCGUGAGAUGUUAGGUUAAGUCCUUCAACGAGCGCAACCCUUAUUGUCUGUUGUAUUUUUCACGCAAGACUGCCCCGGUAACGGGGA
rnacentral:rRNA from 1 species